UACGGGGGGGAGCAAGCGUUGUUCGGAUUUACUGGGCGUAAAGGGCGCGUAGGCGGCCACCGCAAGUCGAUUGUGAAAUCUCCGGGCUUAACCCGGAAAGGUCAACCGAUACUGCGGGGCUAGAGUGCAGAAGGGGCAACUGGAAUUCUCGGUGUAGCGGUGAAAUGCGUAGAUAUCGAGAGGAACACCUGCGGCGAAGGCGGGUUGCUGGGCUGACACUGACGCUGAAGUGCGAAAGCUAGGGGGAGCGAACGGGG
rnacentral:rRNA from 1 species